GCGUCAAUAGUAUAGUGGUUAGUAUUCGGGCUUCCCAAGCCUGAGACCGGAGUUCGAAUCUCCGUUGGCGCA
rnacentral:tRNA from 1 species